rnacentral:rRNA from 1 species
CAGUAGCCGCGGUAAAACGUAGGUGGCAAGCGUUGUCCGGAAUUAUUGGGCGUAUAGCGCGCGCAGGCGGAUAGGUCAGUCUGUCUUAAAAGUUCGGGGCUUAACCCCGUGAUGGGAUGGAAACUGCCAAUCUAGAGUAUCGGAGAGGAAAGUGGAAUUCCUAGUGUAGCGGUGAAAUGCGUAGAUAUUAGGAAGAACACCAGUGGCGAAGGCGACUUUCUGGACGAAAACUGACGCUGAGGCGCGAAAGCCAGGGGAGCGAACGGGAUUAGAUACCCCUGUAGUCCCUGUCUCUUAUACA